GUUUUCCUAGCCAGUUGGUCUGUUGGCUUGCAAAUAAUAUGUACAAAUCUGUGUUUUCUUCCAGGGUCUUUCUUCCCUGAUUUCAAGCCCUCAGAAACAGUUUUUAAAAUAGCAUUUUGGCUCGGAUACCUAAACAGCUGCAUCAACCCCAUUAUAUACCCGUGCUCCAGUCAAGAGUUUAAAAAGGCCUUUCAGAAUGUCUUGAGAAUCCAGUGUCUCCGCAGAAAGCAGUCUUCUAAACACACCCUGCAGGGCUAUACCCUGCACCCGCCCAGCCACGCCCUGGAAGGGCAGCACAAGGACCUGGUGCGCAUCCCAGUGGGAUCAGGAGAGACCUUCUAUAAGAUCUCCAAGACGGAUGGGGUCUGCGAAUGGAAAUUUUUCUCUUCAGUGCCCCGUGAAUCUGCCAGGAUUACAGUGUCCAAAGACCAGUCAGCCUGCACCACAGCCCGGGACUUUUAACCCUGAAACCACCUGCACACAGCUCCGGUCCAGCCUGGUUGGAACACUGUUGGCACCUGCUCCUUGUCUACAUACUGUGCCGGGGAGCAGGGCUAAGCCCAGGCCACUGCAGGGUCCACCGUCUUCAAAAAGCAAUGACAACAGUGGCCUCCUGGCCCUCCAAAGUCCCCGCAAGAUGAGUGAGUGGAGAUGACUUUGGGGGCCGGGCUGGCAAAAGCAAGUUAGGAUUUCAGCAGAGGACACCCAGCCCCUUGCCACUGUUCCCAUCAGCAUGGCCUCACUCGUGCCUCCCACCCCAGACCCAGAUGCCGUGGGGGCUGAGGAUGGAGCUCAUCUGCUCUGUGCAGGAAAUAUCAUUUCUUCUCUGCUACUGCCACAUGGAUUCCUGAGUCUCCCACCUAAAAGGAAGGUUAUGGCAGUGGGCAGGGGGCGGUGUUGAGAAGGAAGGGGAAGACUCACCCUGGACAUCAUUCAAAGCAGGAUGCGUGGUUUCCUAAAACUUUGCUUCAACUGAUAAGCAAGGAACUGCCCUGAAGCUGCUGGCUUCUUCAUUUCCAAACACAAAAUGAUUGUCUUUCCUUUCCCUGUGGCUCAGGAGUCAUUAUAGCACUUUCCCUCUAUAUUAUAGUCAACAGAGCCACGUUAUAAGCUGGAAAUGAUUAGAGCUAAACUAUGAGAAAUACACUUAAUUAGGUAAGAAAAAAAAUCUAAGAGCAAAUUCAUACUGUAUUUAGAGAAAAAAAUAAUGAAGGCGCCAACCUGUUAAGAAGCCUGAGUACAGGAGGUGCAUUCAGAUGCAACAGAAAAGAAAGUAAGACAGGAUGUCCCAACAUGAGCUUAAUAUAUGUCUUCCCAUUUAUGUGACACUUUGUAUUUGCCCAAGUAAUUUUGCUUAUCUCAAGUCAUUCCUAUGAGGGACAAAGAGAAGGAAGGGUGUGUUAUCUAUACUUAACAUACAAAGAAACAAGGGGACAUAGAGACUUAAGCCCCAAAUCCAGCCUCUGACUCUGUUUUCCAUGACGCCCUCAGUAACCCCGGGGUCCAUUGUGUUUCUUGAGACCAUGAAUUUUGUAUGUCCCUCAUUCAUCUCUGAUCCAUAUUUUCAGCUCCAUUGGCACCUUCUCUCCUAUUAUAUCCCUGCCAACACCUGGGCAAUACAAGAUGGUUCAGAGUGCAUAUUUGUCUAUGCUUUUCUCAUUGGCUAAAGGACUAGCAGAUGUGAUUCUGUUCUUUCUCCCUAGAUAGGCCACACCAGAGCUAAGGAAGUAAGCAGGGCAGGGGGCUCUUGGCUUGCUCAACAGGGUGACAGGUAGGGCAAAGCCAGCAGUGAUUAAAACCUUAAGGACCUCAGGAAUGCAAAGUUUGCAAAGGAAGUUUCGGGAAGCUCCUCUUCCAGUGCGCCUGAGGGUUGUUGUUACACCCUUUCGUCAUUGUCAGCAAGCUGCUCCCUUCCUCUCCUGCACCAGGCACUGCAUUUGGCACGAAAAAUGCUAAGAGGCACAGACAGUCCCCAGCUUAUGAGCUGGGUGGGUUCCAAGUUCAUCUGCUGCAAGUCAAGAACGCAUUUUUCCAAGAAGCAUUGUUACAGAUGGGGGAGGGGAAGGGUGUUCCCAGACCAACUAAAAAAAUAAAAAUCUAUUUAAUGUACA
rnacentral:lncRNA from 1 species